UCGAGAAUUUUUCACAAUGGGGGAAACCCUGAUGGAGCGACGCCGCGUGGGGGAUGAAUGGCUUCGGCCCGUAAACCCCUGUCAUUUGUGACCAACCCGCGUUAUUUAAAAGAUGGCGCGCUGAUGGUAGCGAAAGAGGAAGGGACGGCUAACUCUGUGCCAGCAGCCGCGGUAAUACAGAGGUCCCGAGCGUUGUUCGGAUUCACUGGGCGUAAAGGGUGCGUAGGUGGUGGGGUAAGUCGGAUGUGAAAGCUCGGAGCUCAACUCCGAAAUGGCAUUGGAAACUGCCCUGCUCGAGGGUCGGAGGGGGACUGGAAUUCUCGGUGUAGCAGUGAAAUGCGUAGAUAUCGAGAGGAACACCCGUGGCGAAGGCGAGUCCCUGGACGACACCUGACACUGAGGCACGAAAGCUAGGGGAGCAAACAGGAUUAGAUACCCUGGUAGUCCUAGCCGUAAACGGUGCGCGUUUGCUGUAAGAGGAAUCGACCCCUUUUGUGGCGAAGCC
rnacentral:rRNA from 1 species